rnacentral:lncRNA from 1 species
AAAACAUACAACAGAUACACAAAAAAAUAAAAAGCAAGAAAUUAAAGCAUACCACCACAGAAAAUCACUUUCACUAAAAGGAAGACAGGAAGAAAGGAAACAGAAAUUCAAAGGAUCGUUAGCGACUACUGUGAGCAACUAUAUGCCAAAAAACUGAAAAAUCUUGAAGAAACAGACAAAUUCCUAGACACAUACACCCUACAAAGAUUGAACCCAGAAGAAAUCCAAAACCUGAGCAGACCAAUAACAAGUGAGGAGAUCAAAGCAGUAAUGAAAAGCUUCCCAGUAAAGAAAAGGCUGGGACCCAACAGCUUUACUGCUGAAUUCUACCAAAUAUUUAAAGUGGAACUAAUACCAAUCCUACUCAAACUAUUCUGAAAAAUAGAGGAGGACAGAAUGCUUCCAAACUCAUUCUGUGAGGCCAGUAUUAUCCUGAUACCAAAAACCAAACAUACAUCAAAAAAAAAAAAAGAAACCUACAGACCAAUACCUCUGAUGAAUAUUGAUGCAAAAACCCUCAACAAAAUACUAGCAAACCUAAUCCAACAAUACAUUUAAAAGAUCACUCAUCAUGACCAAGUGGGAUUUAUCACAGUGAUGCAAGGAUGGCUCAACACACACAAACCAAUCAAUGUGACACAUCACAUC